rnacentral:snoRNA from 12 species
CUGCAGUGAUGACCUUCUUAGGACACCUUUGGAAUAAAGAUGAAAAGACGAAAGAAAUCUGAGCAGU